ACCCUCUCUACACUUGCCCCGCUCAUGCUCGCUCUCUCUCUCUCUCUCUCAAAAAUAAACAAUAAAAAACAAUAAAUAAAAAAAUGAAAUAGCAGUUCUAAAAACAGAGUGGCAGACAAAAAUGGGGAGAUGUUAUGGAACUUAAUUGGAAUCUAUUACGUGAAAGCAAGAGAUGAUAGCUUUAUAAGAAAGUACCCAUAGAAAUUAGGAAGAGAAUACUAGGAGACCUGAGGUGUAUAAUUUUGGAGUGAAUUUAAAGAGAGGAUGGAGAAAAGUAGAUUCAGCUGAGAACACUCAAAUGGAACCACUUGGUCUUAGUUAUCUAUUGUCGUGUAGCAGUAUUACCACAAAUUAGUGGCUUAAAAGCACACAUUUAUUGUCUCACUACUUCUGUGAGUCAGAAAUCUGGGCACAGCGCAGCUGGACCCUCUGUUUUAGAGUUUCACAAAGCUGGCAUCAGGGUUUCAGCUGGGACUGUGAUCUUAUCUGAGGCUCAGCUGGGGAAGGAUCUAUCUUGAAGCUCAUGUGGUUGUUGACAGAAUUUAGUUUCCUGUAAAUAUUAUUGGACUGAAGGCCUCUUUUUCUUGAGGGCUGCUAGCUGGAAGUCACCCAUAGUUGCUUGACAUUUGGUAUUCCCACCAUAGCCACUUGCUCUGUCAAAGCUAGCAAGAGAAGCUUUUAGUGAGACACAUGGCAUAUUCCUAUCUAGUUGUGUAAUCCCAGAAGUGGAAUACCAUCACUUUUGCUAUAGUCAGAAUCAAGUCACGUGUGUUACACACACUCAGAAGGAAGAAGUCACAAAGGGGCAUGGCUACCAAAGAAUGGAUCAGCUGGGGUCAUCCUUGGUUCUGUCUACCACAGUUAGUUGCAUAGAAAAUCAAGAGGGUUUAAUCUGGUAGUCAGUGUUGGUUCCAUGAUUCAGACAGUGGCACAGAAGAGUUAAACAGUGAUAAACUAUAAGGAGAUGCCUGGGAAUGUCACAAUAACACAACUCCUUCAUAUGCCACUGGAAGAUCAAACUCAACAAAGCAUUUAGUGGGAUGGUGUGGUACAUGGAAGAUUACACAUAUAAAUGCUUAGGGCCGGGCCUGAACAUAGUAGGUUUUCAGUAAAUAUUUGACUCAGAAAUUGAUGAAAACAAAUCAGUGAAUAAGCAAAUGACUACAAUUAUAGGAGUCAGAGUUCAGGCAAGAAGUAGAACUGGUGUACAUCAGUCAAAAUAUCUGAGAGUCAAGUAGGUGGCAUAUUGCAUUAAAAUAUUGCCGAAAAUGUUCUUCAAGACAAAUAUUUUUUUUAUCUUCAUAAGAGAACUAUUUUUUUUCUGACAGUCAAGUAACCGAAGGAUAAGAUCUACUAAAAUAAAAAAAAGUUAUCAAAUACACAUUCAGUUGGAAAUAUAUGAACAUAGAGAUUCCAUAUUCAUGGGGUGAUUAAGAAUUUCUCACUAACUAGAGGCAAUACAUUGCAAUUUCCUGCGUAAUUCCAAGGAAUAAGAUGAACAUUCCCUAUAUCAAAAUAGAGAUUUAUUCUCAGCUGUAAUCCAGCCUAUUCUAGAUGCUAAGAUUUGAUUGGUGCUGAUCCGAAGACCUUUGUUAAAUUUUGUGUAAAUUUAUUAGUACAUUUAGACUUUUUUUCAAAAAAAAAAAAAAAAAACCAUUAACACCCUGACUUCCUAACUUUCUCUCUUCUAUUGUAGGAAAAAGCCAACUCUUGCUAAGAUUCCUGUGGCUUCUCUGACUGGCUUAUCCAUAUACUACAAAAUAGACACAUGAGCCAUAUCAUUGAUCACAUUGAGUUGCUUCUCAUUUCAUCAAAUCAACAAAUAGUGAGAGUCUAUCAUGUGCAAUGUACUGUAAUGGCUUUGAGUAAAUUUUCCUUCAAUUCUGUAAUACUCUCCUCUCUUCUGAAGAGCAUUUAAGUUUGAUUUGGGGAAACUUAGCAAGACAAAUAAGACUUUAUAUAAAGCUUUGAGCUAAUUUGCAUAUAUCUACAACACUGUUCCCAUGGUAUGCCUCAAAAAGGAUUUACAAUCUCCUUUAAAAAAAUAGAGAAAAUAAAGUUUACCAUAUGAUACAUGCUAUAAAUCAGGUAUCUAGAGAUAAUUCCCAUUGCUGCUAUAUAUCUGCAUAAAGUAUAUAACAAAACAAGAACAACUGCAGAUGAAAAUAACCUAAAUUUAAAUGAUAAUAUUUAGAGUGGUAAUAUUUAGAGAAUAAUCCCUCCAUUCACAUUGUCAGUAUAUUUUUUAUCUGCAUAUAUGUCAUGACAUUGGCUAUGUGUUUAUUUGUGUCAGUGAAUUAUAACAGAAAUGAAUUUCAGACAAUACAAUCAUAAACAUCUGGGCUUUGCAACACAUGGUCUGCUGAGUUUUGAAUAUGAAAUAGUUUUGAUUUCAUUUCUAAUAGUAAAAGGAAGUAGGAUAUCAUGAGGUAAUUUAUGGUAUUGUGCUGCUGAGAAGGAAAUAGUCUCAUUUACACUAUUGUUUACAAUCUCCUUUAUAUCCAUAUGCUGUUCCAUGUCUAAGGGUAGAUGAUGUGAUGAACUUGAAAUUGGAGUUCUAUUAGUUUUCAGGACAAUGCUUGGGAUAUGAUAGGCGCUCAAGAAUAUUUGAUGAGUGGGUGAAUAAAUUGCAAUGAGUAAAGUUUUAUGAGCAAAUUUGGGAACCCAUUUCAGGCAAAUACUGAGUUUUUAUCAACAUCAUUUUAACAUAAUCUUAUUAGGCACAGACUUGUAACAUCUUUAAACUGACAAAACCAUAAUCAAAACCAGCCCUUACCCACACACAGUUACAGACUAGCCAGUGUAAAAAAAAAAAAAAAAAAAAAAAAAAGCUGACUGCAAUUCUAGCGCUAAGGGUGGUGAAUGAGAAGGCCCAGACCAUGAUGGUAUAAUCUGCAUCUACUUCGACCAGCCAUGACAGUACUGGGACAGAAGAUGGCAGAGUAGAAGAGACAGGUUCCCUGUUCUCCCAAAGCUUAGGGUCUGGUAGAGGACACAUACAAAGCAAUCCCAAUGGAUAACGGUUUCAAGAACCCACACUGCCAUAUGCAAUUUGCACAGCCCUGCUGUAUCACCAGUGCCUUGCCUUAGUGUAGACACUCAAUAAAUGUUUGCUAAAAAAAUAAAUCAGAGAAGUCUGAGAGAAGUGGAUGAUCUUAUCAAGGUCAAGGCUAACAAUGGCAGGAAUCCUAGAUUUUAAGGAUGGCCAAAAAACUUGGUGUAACACAACUGGAAUGCAGAAAUGAGCUCACAGAAAGUAUACUGAAGGACUAAAGGGCAUAGGAAGUGGAUCUCUGGCAAACAUAAGGAGAAGUUUCAUGGAGAGGACCAAAGUCAGCACACUGUUGGGGUACCAGUGAAGUGAGGAGAAAAUUAGGAGGUCUGAAUUGCAAAAGAGCCUACAGUUCCAUAUUUGGCUAGUAGAUGGUCUGGAAAUAUUUGGCACACAGAGGUCUACCAGGAAUUCUCUGUGCCUGUUUACAAUUUCAGUGCUUCAUGCUAAAUUGUGUCAUAUAAUAUAUAUUAUCAAUUAAAAUUCUAAAUAUAGCAUUGUAAUAAGAGAACUUUUUCUGUGUUUUUACAUAGCACUAAAAGCUCCGGAAAAUGGAUAUAUGAGCCCCUGAUGCAAAUUACCCGGGAAAAUUCGUAGAAAAAAAGACACAAGUGGAGCUACAACAUGUACAAGAAGAAAGAAAACCCUAGAUGUCGGAACAUGUGACUCUGAGACAUAACCAGAUGAGUUACGCCAAUAGAUUUUCAAGAGAGCUCUACCUUUAUUGAAGCCUUCAACAGUUAAAUGCAAAGAAAAUUGUUAUUAAAUCAAGUCUCUCCACUCAUGAGGUUUGGAUUUAGAACCAGGAUAAUGGUGGCUUCAAAAAUAAAUCGAGGAUGUUAUUUCCCCUUAUAUUCUCUAAGAGAUUGUAUGGAAUUGGCAUUAACUCUUUCUUUAAUGGAGAGAGAGAAGACAGCCAGUAGCUGGAGACCAUGUACAGAAGUGGAGCACUGCUUAGGAAGCAAUGAACUUUACAUUCUUGUGAAGGAACAGAAGCAGAAUCUUGAUUCUUUUGCAAAAGUUCUGGUGAUCAUCGGAAAGUCAGAGUGCUGGGUGCACAGAAUGGAAAAGUGGGAAAAUAUGCAGGCAAGAAACAACCAGACCUCUACUCAAGGGCCAAGCUAAUCUAGAGGAUACAUUGUCCUUUCCUUUGCAUGUCUCGAAGACAGCGGAAGGCCUUGCCCAAGGAAACGUGUUAACCUGAGAUAGAAUGACAGCAAUAAUAAUCCUGGUAAAAAACAGAUAUUUGCACCAUGCUCCAUGUCCUUCACUUCAUGCUUACUGUAUGUCAGGAAUAUUUCUAAGCUCUUAAUACUCGUGAAUUUAGCUAAUCUUUACAAGAGCCCCAUAAAGUACGAGCUGGUAUAACCCCCCCCCCUUUAAUUUUCUAAUGAGAAAAGAGAAGAAAAGGAAGUUUACUAACUUCCUUAAGAUCAUACAUCUGGCAAGGGGCAGAACUAUUAUUUGAACCCAGGCAGUCAUUCUCCAGUGUCCCAGCUUUAAGUCAACAUAUGUCCCUACCUCAAGUCUUUUGACUCUAGAUCUAGCACUAGUAUGUAUUGAACAUCUGAGGCAAGUAUGGUCUCUUAUGGAGAGUUUGAAUAAUGGCCCUGCUCGCAAGGUGAAGGAGCUCUGAGAAAACUCACAAAGACUCAUACCUGAGGCCGAAAUGAUCUAGAUUGGAAUGGGAUGCAUUUGCAUCCAGGAUCUUCAAGCCUCAUCUGAGGACACUAGGGUAUCUUAUUAUGUUUUCUUUAGCAGCUUCUCCUUGAGAUUGAGUUAUUGGGUGUGAUGGAAUUAGAGGAAGAAGUUGACAUUUUUGAACAUUACACAUAUCACUUAAAGUAAAAUCCUUUCCAUAAGGGUUUUCAACAAAAUAACAACAAAAAAGUUUUUGAGAUACUUAAAUUAUGUUGGUUUACUGGACAGUAUCUUUGAAAAGAUCCAGAUUUGAAGCUGAAGUAUGUUCCCAUCAUAACUUAGUGGAUUUUGAUGUGGGUUAAAACUAGAAUAACAUUCUUGUUGUUGGCUGACAUUCAGGCAUUGGCAGUCCAGGUCUCAACAAAUAGAAAACACUCACCUUUCCCUGGGUUGCUAGAGAGGGAGGCCUACUACCUUCAUCCCUGCCUCUUUUCCUUUUACAGUGGGUAAUGGUAGAUAUAAAGAGGUAUAAAUUACUGAAACCACCGUACUCUCCUUAUUUAUUUAUAAAAUGAUAGACAAAGACAAAUCCACAGCUUUUGUUUUUGUUUUUUUUUCUUGUUAAGUAUUCAGUACUGUUUCUGGUAAAUUAGAUGACAAAGCUAAGCCCACAUGUGAAUGCAAAGAAGGGCUGAGUAAGGUGGAUGGGAGAGAUUGACGUUAAAUUUUCUGCCUGGAAUCUCUCUCAGACUUUCAGAGUCUAUAGAUAUUGGGGAAGUUUCUUGUCUACUCUAUUUAAUCUGAUAAUAUUCCAAAUAGGAAUAAUGGAGAAGGGCUUCUGACCACAAACAGGAGUCAACUUAGGGACCAGAGAUGACCUAGGGAAAUCCAGUUUAAGUGUCCCUGACCUUUUAACUUACUAUCUGUCCUCAUAGUAAAUAACACAGGUAUGUACUUUUCCAAAUUUUUCAACUUCCUAAUACACAAGCUUUUUAAUAACCUUGUCUUCAUGCUCUUAAACAAAAAAAUGGUUUUUUGGUCUUGAAAUCUAUGUGCUUACUUCCUUAUAUGUUAUCUUAGGAUGUUUGUUUAGGCCAGAAAAAUACAUACAUGUGGAGGCCUGUGGCUCAAAAUGGAAAAUUUGGAAAAGAUCCUCUCUAUAACAAGACCUCUGAUAAAAAGCUGAGAAUUUCAGGGAUGAGAAGAGGAACAGGGCAUUUCUGGGUUUUAAGCUCAUUUUCUUUCUUGGAAAUCCAUCCAGAUUAACACAAAUGAGGAUAUAUCUUAUCUGCGUGAGAGAAGAAAGAAGAAAGGAUCAUUCUCAGCCCAAAAAUCUGCAAAUCAAGCAUACAACAAGUGAGAGGAUACUAAUGCAGAGAGAAAUGGAAGAGGGAGGGCAUCGGGGUAGGUGUUUCAUAGACCUUUUGCAUAAAUCCUGGGUGCCACGCAAGGGCUAGAAGCAUCAGGUAUUAUGAAGGUUAAGAUGGCUGGGGAGCAUUUGGG